rnacentral:rRNA from 1 species
AUUGAACGCUGGCGGCAGGCCUAACACAUGCAAGUCGAACGAGUGGCGGACGGGUGAGUAAUGUCUGGGAAACUGCCUGAUGGAGGGGGAUAACUUCUGGAAACGGUAGCUAAUACCGCAUACCAUCGGAUGUGCCCAGAUGGGAUUAGCUAGUAGGUGGGGUAAAGGCUCACCUAGGCGACGAUCCCUAGCUGGUCUGAGAGGAUGACCGUCAAUACUGGAACUGAAACACGGUCCAGACUCCGACGGGAGGCAGAAGUGGGGAAUAUUGGACAAUGAGCGCAAUCCGGAUGCAGCCAUGCCGCGGGGAUGAAGAAGGCCUUCGGGUUGUAAAGUACUGUCAGCGGGGAGGCGGUACCCGCAGAAGAAGCACCGGCUAACUCCGUGCCAGCAGCCGCGGUAAUAC